AUUAGACUUCUGCUUUAGCUUUAUAUGAAUCUAGCUUUAUGACAUCAAUUCACUUGUUUGACCAAGUCAAUUUAUUUCAUUGAACUAAUUGUUUAUUAGUAUUCUCAAUAUUUUGGACUUUUUUGAUUGAUUCAUAGAUAUUUUUUUGGAUGUUUAAAAUCAUAUUCUAGACAUUAAUGAAUUUUAUGGUUGUUUAUUAGUACUCUCAUCAUAAAGAAGAGACCUCCAACGGCAUGAACUCCCUUAACUUCUUUAUCUAGUAAUCUCUUUGUUCUCCUCCUUUCUCUCUCGGAUCUCCUCUCCCUUUGUUUUUUCUUGUUUUAUGAUUUGAAUCUACUUCUACAGUUUGGAUCAACGUAUUCACCAAUUUUUCUCUUACCAGAUGUUGUCUGUCGUGAUUUUGAAUCGGUUAAUUCUCUCACUUUUUCAUCAAUUCUGUUAUUUGAAUUGUUCUAUUCAGUUGUGUGUUGAAUUUUGAUCGGAAUUGCUAGAAUUGAUCACCUAAGUUUGUUUUGGUGGUUUUGGGGUCCUUAGAGACAUGUUUGGCAUAACAGAAACAAAUCAAUAGAGAAAGUUUUCCAAAAAGGUUUUGUUUUUGGGACUGCCGCUUCUUCUUAUCAGGUUGGUUUGUUUUUGGGACUGUUGCUUCUUCUUAUCAGAAGAUUAAUGGAAGAAGUUAUUUGCAAUAGCAUCAGCUUUAGAAUCAUCGGAGCAUAAGUUUAAAUGCUCACUGGAUUCCUGAGGCCGUGGGAGGCACAAGGAGUUUAAAGAAGCUUCCAAAGUGAGUGCUCAAGUAAUUUUUCUACCUGAAAGACUUAGAUUCUCCACUUUCUUAUUCAGAUAAUUGGCUAUAAAACUCUCUUCUUUCUUAUUCAAAUAAUUGGCUAUAAACUCUAUGCUCUUUCUUUUGUAUGAAACAUUGUUCUUUUAAUGAAUGCGACUCUAGGGUGAUUAUGGUGUUUCAAUUCUAGUUUUGUCUUGUAUAAAUUUUGAAAUCACUGCUAUAAUUAUAGCACACACACAGUAUAAUGGUUGAGGAUGUUACAUCUUUCAAACUUAAUAACAUAUGUGCAUAAAUGUUCUUUUGUUACCAUAGAACUUGUCGAACUAUUUAGUUGACUACACAUAUCUAUAUCUACAAAUUGUCAGAAAAUUUGCUUUAUGCAUCUUUCAAAUUUGAGGUGCUAUUGUAAAGAACCUAGGAUAUAUAUAAGAUUAAGUGUUGUAUAAGAUUAAGGAGUAGUGUUUGAAAAUAAACUACUUAAGCAUCUUUUUUCCAAUUUUUCAGAACUCAAGUAAUUAGCAUUCUUUUGCUCAUCUUGCUGUCCAUUUGUUACUCUUGGUGGUGGUUUACGUUUUUUAUUCGAAGUUUAUGUUCAUCUUUAUGUUACUAGAUUCCUUCUUAAUCUUAACAUAAGCUUCUUGUUAGUAGCAUCAUAAUUGACUGUGUGAAUGAAUAUUCAGUAAUGCUCUUCCUCGUUAUGCUUUAAGCCUUUUGGUACAUGUUUGGAACAUUUAUGUUACGAAUGGAGACACACAUCAAAUGGAGUUUUAUACUUGUCAAUAAGUUUGAAAAUUAGGUGGCCAAAUACCAAAUUUUAUGCACGCAGAUUUGCAGAUUCAUUAGUAGAAUGGUUCUCACUUAAAGAAAAUGGGUGUUGUCAUGGAAUUUCACUUGUUCAAGAUGCUCAUGUUCCCAUAAAGUUGAGUUUAAUUGGUUGUGAUUUUCCUUUUUUUGGAUAUCUGGGUUUUUUUUGGUGAUUUAGUUAAUUGGGUGUGAAUUAGAAUUAGAUUAUAAUUUACAUUCAAAUUAGAAUUUUGAUUUGGUUGUUAUUUUGGUUCAUCUGUGUGUUUGGUUGUUAUUUUGCACAUGAUUAGUAGAAGUCACCCUGCAUCCUCAAUGAAAAUCCUAGGUUUUGUAGUCUUCUGAUUUGCCAUAUGGGUCUUUCUUGUUCUUAUUUAUCAUUAUUGACUUCAUAAUAUCAUUUGUAAUAUCUGUCGAGAAAUUGAAAGUUCCAAUGGAUUUAGAUUAUGGGUAGAAUUUUUAUGAUGGUUUUAAGAUCCUCUAUUAUUGCAUUUCUCCUAGGUUAGCCUUGGAUUUGUUAAAGUCAUUCCAUAGGCAGCUUCCUUUUUCCUAUUGCAGGUUUUAACUCAUUUGUUGCGAAUGGAUAGAUGAGCAUCACAAUAUGUGCUGAUUUAAUAUUGGUUUUGAUAUAUAUAUAUAUAUAUAUGUGUGUGUGUGUAUAUUUGUUUUUUCUCAGCAAUACAAUGUGCUGAUUUAAUAUUGAUUUAAAGCAUCUCAUAAAGCAUAAAGGUAGGUACAUAAUGCUGAACUCAUAAAGCAUCUCCCACAGCUACAUAAAGGUGGGGACACCUUCCCAAAUGCUAAUCCAAUGUUGCAUUUGCAACUUCUUUUCUUUUGUGAUUUACUUGAAUAUUUAUUUAUUUUUGGUAUGUGAUUUAAAUGUAGUUCUUGAUUUCAAUUUUUUGGGCUUGUAGCAUUUAAUAUGUCCUAUUUCAUGAUAGAAGAGGUCUCACAUGAUUAUGUUAUUGUAUGCCUAUAAUUUUUUCCUCAAUAUUUUGUAGUCUAUGCUUGUUUUCUUGAAUCCAAUCAAGUUUGGAAUAACCUUUACCUUCAGCAAUUUGCUCUCACUUGGGAGGUUUGUCCUUAGAUUUGUAUAUUAGUAUGCUUCUUGUCAUUAUUCCAUGUAAAGAGAUUUAGUUUUUAGUUAUUUAGAUUUCUAUUGAAUUUUUGGGAUUCUUUAUUGAAGUUUGGAUUCAUUCAUUCAUCCUUAUAUGUUCAUAUUAUUCAGCAAGUAUCCUAUGCUUUCUCACAGCCUUGACUUGUUUUCCUAUUUGUCUUGAUCUUUUCCUUGGCAAGUUGUAGUGCCUUUAGUUUGUACUCAUGGUAAA